rnacentral:lncRNA from 1 species
GAGAAGGGAGAAAUCGCUGCAACAUAGAUGAAAUAUGCUCAAGCUGAGACUGCAAAGUUUGUUGGUUCUGCUUCAGCUCCGCCAACUCUGCCUGAUGGCGAUCCUUCAUAUCUUCAAUUGUUGUCCGAAGUCUACUAACUUCUGCAUUGCUACUACCUUCUCCAACAUUUCUUGUAUACAUUCCCACUGCAGACAACUGAGUGGGGGUAACUCCAAUGCCAUAACCCCUCACUCGACCAUAAUGCUCUGGGCCCAAUAAUUCGGCGAGCACCUGAGCUUCGACAUGACUGAUCGCGUCGGAUGAUGAUGACUCCCCGACACGCUCUGAAAUAAGGCUGCAAAUGGGUCGGGUCGACCCGUAGACCCGACCCGAUCCGACCCGCGUAGACCCGACCCGAUCCGAAUUUUAGGACCCGCGGGUCCGGGGUGGGUCCUAAAAUUGGACCCGAAUCAUUUUCUGGGUCAGGUCUGGGUUUACCAAACGGACCCGACCCGACCCGACCCGAAUGGACCCGAAGAGAGAGAAGAAAAGCAAAAGAGGGUCUUUUCUUUUUCUUUUUUCUUUUUUUUGGCGUGGGUUGUGGUACUGUUGGUCAGCGUGGGAGGAUAGUAAGUUAGCAACAAGCAUAGGUUCACAGAAUCCAAAGGAACGUCGGCCCGUCAGGAUUCUCUCUCGAUCUAUUACACUGUUGAUACCUCUGGUGUUUCGGUAGCUGCUUUUUUUUUUUUUCCUUCUGUUUUUUGGUUUUUGUUUCUUUUAACUUUUGAAGGGAGAAAGUGAGGGAACACUGCAACUGAAUAUGGGUCAUGUGCCAGUUUUCUGUAAUGGAAUUGGAUUUUGGAAGAAGGUC